rnacentral:rRNA from 1 species
UACGUAGGCAGCAAGCGUUGUUCGGAAUUACUGGGCGUAAAGAGUGUGUAGGCGGUGCUCUAAGUUCGGUGUGAAAUCUCCCGGCUUAACUGGGAGGGUGCGCCGAAAACUGGAAUGCUCGAGCGUGGGAGAGGAAAGCGGAAUCCUGGUGUAGCGGUGAAAUGCGUAGAUAUCAGGAGGAACACCAGCGGUGUAGACGGCUUUCUGGACCAUUGCUGACGCUGAGACACGAAAGCGUGGGUAGCAAACAGG